GCUAGAGAGGAAAGGAGAAGGCAAGUGGUGAUCACUAAGCAGCCUUUAUAAGGGUUAUUCCUGGUGAGGCUUUGGCUUGAGAGGAAAGGAGAAGGCAAGUGGUGAUCACUAAGCAGCCUUUAUAAGGGUCAUCCCUGGUGAGGAUUUGGCUAGAGAGGAAAGGAGAAGGCAAGUGGUGAUCACUAAGCAGCCUUUAUAAGGGUUAUUCCUGGUGAGGCUUUGGCUAGAGAGGAAAGGAGAAGGCAAGUGGUGAUCACUAAGCAUCUAAAGGAGGACGUGCAGGGAUGAGACCCAUGGACCACAGUGUGCUGAAAUGUAUCUUCUCCCUAUUCUUGCUAACAGUAUCUGCAUCAGGCACGCUAUCCAACGCAGCAGUUACUACUAUCCAACCACUAUCAAAUACAGCCAGUGCAUCCCAACCAGCCAACACAGCCACUUCAUCCAGUGCAACCACACCAUCCUGUUUGACCCGUCGAUGUCUGGCCAGCAUGCUGAUUGCGAAAGAAGCUCGGAGUCCGCCACAGUCUCCACGGUGCAUCUCAAUUAUCCGUGUGCCGUCAAUCGUGUACGAAACUCUGUCUGUCG